rnacentral:rRNA from 1 species
CCUACGGGGGGCUGCAGUAACGAAUCUUCCGCAAUGCACGAAAGUGUGACGGAGCGACGCCGCGUGUGGGACGAAGUCCUUCGGGAUGUAAACCACUGUCAGGGGUUACCAAGUCCUGAGGAGCCCCAGAGGAAGGCACGGCUAACUCUGUGCCAGCAGCCGCGGUAAGACAGAGGUGCCGAGCGUUAGGCGGAAUCACUGGGCUUAAAGCGUGUGUAGGCGGACCGUUAAGUACCUUGUGAAAUCCCACGGCUCAACCGUGGAACGGCUGGGUAUACUGGCGGUCUUGGGCCACCUAGGGGCGAGCGGAACAAGCGGUGGAGCGGUGAAAUGCGUAGAUAUCGCUUGGAACGCCGACGGUGAAAACAGCUCGCUGGGGGUGUGCCGACGCUGAGACACGAAAGCCAGGGGAGCGAACGGGAUUAGAUACCCGAGUAGUC